AGAAUGAAUGCUGUCUUUAUACUCCUGAUGCUUUGCUGCAUGUACAUCAUGGCUGCUGGAGAUCAGAGCCAAAAUGAAUUAGACGUUUUCUAUAAUAAUGACAAUGAAAAGGAGUUGACGGAAAGAAUUUAUUGGUGUGUGUAGUCUUAAGAAGGUGGAUGUUAUUAAAGUGUCAAGAUCAUCUAGUAGAUCUCGGUGACUAAUAGUAUCGUCUAUUGUAUUGUUUUCCUGCUAGUCAGACAGAGGCGAUGUAAAAACAAUUUAAAUACAAUAAAAAGCUUUACGUUUA